UACAUGGGGUGCAAACGUUGCUCGGAAUCACUGGGCGUAAAGGGCGCGUAGGCGGCGUUUUAAGUCGGGGGUGAAAGCCUGUGGCUCAACCACAGAAUGGCCCUUCGAUACUGGGACGCUUGAGUAUGGUAGAGGUUGGUGGAACUGCGAGUGUAGAGGUGAAAUUCGUAGAUAUUCGCAAGAACACCGGUGGCGAAGGCGGCCAACUGGACCAUUACUGACGCUGAGGCGCGAAAGCGUGGGGAGCAACAGG
rnacentral:rRNA from 1 species